rnacentral:tRNA from 1 species
CUUCCUGGUGGGAAUCGAAACCCGGUCACCCGUGGGACAUGCGGGAAUACUAACCACUAUACUACCAAGAA